GAGCCUGAUCCAGCCAUAGCCGCGUGUGUGAAGAAGGCCUUAUGGUUGUAAAGCACUUUAGGCGAGGAGGAGGCUACUUUAGUUAAUACCUAGAGAUAGUGGACGUUACUCGCAAAAUAAGCACCGGCUAACUCUGGGCCAGCAGCCGCGGUAAUACAGAGGGUGCGAGCGUUAAUCGGAUUUACUGGCCGUAAAGCGUGCGUAGGCGGCUUAUUAAGUCGGAUGUGAAAUCCCCGAGCUUAACUUGGGAAUUGCAUUCGAUACUGGUGAGCUAGAGUAUGGGAGAGGAUGGUAGAAUUCCGGGGGUAGCGGUGAAAUGCGUAAAGAUCUGGAGGAAUACCGAUGGCGAAGGCAGCCAUCUGGCCUAAUACUGACGCUGAGGCACGAAAGCAUGGGGAGCAAACAGGAUUAGAUACCCUGGUAGUCCAUGCCGUACACGAUGUCUACUAGCCGUUGGGGCCUUUGAGGCUUUAGUGGCGCAGCUAACGCGAUAAGUAGACCGCGUGGGGAGUACGGUCGCAAGACUAAAACUCAAAUGAAUUGACGGGGGCCCGCACAAGCGGUGGAGCAUGUGGUUUUAAUUCGAUGCAACGCGAAGAACCUUACCUGUCCUUGACAUACUAGAAACUUUCCAGAGAUGGGAUUGGGGCCUUCGGGAAUCUAGACACAGGUGCUGCAUGGCUCUCGUCAGCAGAACU
rnacentral:rRNA from 1 species